rnacentral:rRNA from 1 species
GAUGAACGCUGGCGGCGUGCUUAACACAUGCAAGUCGAACGGUGAAGGCGGAGCUUGCUCUGCUGGAUCAGUGGCGAACGGGUGAGUAACACGUGAGCAAUCUGCCCCUGACUCUGGGAUAAGCGCUGGAAACGGCGUCUAAUACUGGAUACGAGCUGCGAAGGCAUCUUCAGCAGCUGGAAAGGAUUUCGGUCAGGGAUGAGCUCGCGGCCUAUCAGCUUGUUGGUGAGGUAAUGGCUCACCAAGGCGUCGACGGGUAGCCGGCCUGAGAGGGUGACCGGCCACACUGGGACUGAGACACGGCCCAGACUCCUACGGGAGGCAGCAGUGGGGAAUAUUGCACAAUGGGCGAAAGCCUGAUGCAGCAACGCCGCGUGAGGGACGACGGCCUUCGGGUUGUAAACCUCUUUUAGCAGGGAAGAAGCGAAAGUGACGGUACCUGCAGAAAAAGCGCCGGCUAACUACGUG